AGAGGCGAUGAAGGACGUGCUAAUCUGCGAUAAGCGCCGGUAAGGUGAUAUGAACCGUUAUAACCGGCGAUUUCCGAAUGGGGAAACCCAGUGUGAUUCGUCACACUAUCAUUAACUGAAUCCAUAGGUUAAUGAGGCGAACCGGGGGAACUGAAACAUCUAAGUACCCCGAGGAAAAGAAAUCAACCGAGAUUCCCCCAGUAGCGGCGAGCGAACGGGGAGGAGCCCAGAGCCUGAAUCAGCAUGUGUGUUAGUGGAAGCGUCUGGAAAGGCGCGCGAUACAGGGUGACAGCCCCGUACACAAAAGCGCAUGUGCUGUGAGCUCGAUGAGUAGGGCGGGACACGUGGUAUCCUGUCUGAAUAUGGGGGGACCAUCCUCCAAGGCUAAAUACUCCUGACUGACCGAUAGUGAACCAGUACCGUGAGGGAAAGGCGAAAAGAACCCCGGCGAGGGGAGUGAAAAAGAACCUGAAACCGUGUACGUACAAGCAGUGGGAGCACCCUUCGGGGUGUGACUGCGUACCUUUUGUAUAAUGGGUCAGCGACUUAUAUUCUGUAGCAAGGUUAACCGUAUAGGGGAGCCGGAGGGAAACCGAGUCUUAACCGGGCGUUAAGUUGCAGGGUAUAGACCCGAAACCCGGUGAUCUAGCCAUGGGCAGGUUGAAGGUUGGGUAACACUAACUGGAGGACCGAACCGACUAAUGUUGAAAAAUUAGCGGAUGACCUGUGGCUGGGGGUGAAAGGCCAAUCAAACCGGGAGAUAGCUGGUUCUCCCCGAAAGCUAUUUAGGUAGCGCCUCGUGAAUUCAUCUCCGGGGGUAGAGCACUGUUUCGGCUAGGGGGCCAUCCCGGCUUACCAACCCGAUGCAAACUGCGAAUACCGGAGAAUGUUAUCACGGGAGACACACGGCGGGUGCUAACGUCCGUCGUGAAGAGGGAAACAACCCAGACCGCCAGCUAAGGUCCCAAAGUCAUGGUUAAGUGGGAAACGAUGUGGGAAGGCCCAGACAGCCAGGAUGUUGGCUUAGAAGCAGCCAUCAUUUAAAGAAAGCGUAAUAGCUCACUGGUCGAGUCGGCCUGCGCGGAAGAUGUAACGGGGCUAAACCAUGCACCGAAGCUGCGGCAGCGAACGUAUCACCCAAGACAACUUUACGGAGUUGACGAUUGACGGAGCGAAGCGACGUCAAAGCGUUCAUUAAAGUCGAGUUGGCUUAGGGAUACGUUCGUUGGGUAGGGGAGCGUUCUGUAAGCCUGUGAAGGUGUGUCGUGAGGCAUGCUGGAGGUAUCAGAAGUGCGAAUGCUGACAUAAGUAACGAUAAAGCGGGUGAAAAGCCCGCUCGCCGGAAGACCAAGGGUUCCUGUCCAACGUUAAUCGGGGCAGGGUGAGUCGACCCCUAAGGCGAGGCCGAAAGGCGUAGUCGAUGGGAAACGGGUUAAUAUUCCCGUACUUGGUGUUACUGCGAAGGGGGGACGGAGAAGGCUAUGUUGGCCGGGCGACGGUUGUCCCGGUUUAAGCGUGUAGGUGUGUGUUCCAGGUAAAUCCGGUUCACUUUAACACUGAGGCGUGACGACGAGGCACUACGGUGCUGAAGCAACAAAUGCCCUG
rnacentral:rRNA from 1 species